GUGGGUAACCUGCCUUAUAGUGGGGGAUAGCCUUUCGAAAGGAAGAUUAAUACCGCAUAAGAUUGUAGUAUCGCAUGAUAUAGCAACUAAAGGAGCAAUCCGCUAUAAGAUGGACCCGCGUCGCAUUAGCUAGUUGGUGAGGUAAUGGCUCACCAAGGCGACGAUGCGUAGCCGACCUGAGAGGGUGAUCGGCCACAUUGGGACUGAGACACGGCCCAGACUCCUACGGGAGGCAGCAUG
rnacentral:rRNA from 1 species